GAGUGAGUCAGUCUCCCUCAUGUGUGCUAAUUCCUGCUGACACAUCCUUGUUCAUGCCUGGAAUACCUAAACUCAGAAAGUUGGUGUUGAUUGAUUGCAAACACCCUGGAAGUUGCAGGUGAGGCUCAUCUGUACAUGUGAAAGAGGAGGCCACUUUUCCAUCCUUUGAUGUCCCCUCCACCUGAGAGCCCACAAGCUGGCUUUGGAGCACUGCAGGAAAUUUUUCAAAAGUAGACAAAGAUAAAGAGAACAGUGCCUCCCAUGUACCUGUCCCGAGUACUGGGGACCUGUGUACCUGUCACCCAGCUUCAACAGUUACCAACAUUCUGCUGUCUCUGUCCUCCCUGCUCCUCACAGCAACUCUCGGACACCACAGAACUGCAUCUGGACAGACGUCAGAAUGCACCGCUAACC